rnacentral:rRNA from 1 species
UACGUAGGGUGCGAGCGUUGUCCGGAAUUAUUGGGCGUAAAGGGCUCGUAGGCGGUCUGUCGCGUCGGGGGUGAAAACUCAGGGCUUAACCCUGAGCCUGCUUCCGAUACGGGCAGACUAGAGGUAUGCAGGGGAGAACGGAAUUCCUGGUGUAGCGGUGAAAUGCGCAGAUAUCAGGAGGAACACCGGUGGCGAAGGCGGUUCUCUGGGCAUUACCUGACGCUGAGGAGCGAAAGCGUGGGGAGCGAACAGG